UCGAACGGUAACAUUUCUAGCUUGCUAGAAGAUGACGAGUGGCGGACGGGUGAGUAAUGCUUGGGAACUUGCCUUUGCGAGGGGGAUAACAGUUGGAAACGACUGCUAAUACCGCAUAAUGUCUUCGGACCAAACGGGGCUUAGGCUCCGGCGCAAAGAGAGGCCCAAGUGAGAUUAGCUAGUUGGUAAGGUAACGGCUUACCAAGGCGACGAUCUCUAGCUGUUCUGAGAGGAAGAUCAGCCACACUGGGACUGAGACACGGCCCAGACUCCUACGGGAGGCAGCAGUGGGGAAUAUUGCACAAUGGGGGAAACCCUGAUGCAGCCAUGCCGCGUGUGUGAAGAAGGCCUUCGGGUUGUAAAGCACUUUCAGUUGUGAGGAAAAGUUAGUAGUUAAUACCUGCUAGCCGUGACGUUAACAACAGAAGAAGCACCGGCUAACUCCGUGCCAGCAGCCGCGGUAAUACGGAGGGUGCGAGCGUUAAUCGGAAUUACUGGGCGUAAAGCGCACGCAGGCGGUUUGUUAAGCUAGAUGUGAAAGCCCCGGGCUCAACCUGGGAUGGUCAUUUAGAACUGGCAGACUAGAGUCUUGGAGAGGGGAGUGGAAUUCCAGGUGUAGCGGUGAAAUGCGUAGAUAUCUGGAGGAACAUCAGUGGCGAAGGCGACUCCCUGGCCAAAGACUGACGCUCAUGUGCGAAAGUGUGGGUAGCGAAC
rnacentral:rRNA from 1 species